UAGCUCAGUCGGUAGAGCAGAAGACUAUUAAUCUCAAGGUCGUGGGUCCGAGCCCCAU
rnacentral:tRNA from 1 species